CAGCCGCCGCGGUAAUACGAAGGGUGCAAGCGUUAAUCGGAAUUACUGGGCGUAAAGCGUGCGUAGGCGGUGAGUUAAGUCUGCUGUGAAAUCCCCGGGCUCAACCUGGGAAUGGCAGUGGAUACUGGCUCGCUAGAGUGUGUCAGAGGAUGGUGGAAUUCCCGGUGUAGCGGUGAAAUGCGUAGAGAUCGGGAGGAACAUCAGUGGCGAAGGCGGCCAUCUGGGACAACACUGACGCUGAGGCACGAAAGCGUGGGGAGCAAACAGGAUUAGAUACCCCGGUAGUCCCUGUCUCUUAUAU
rnacentral:rRNA from 1 species